rnacentral:rRNA from 1 species
AGGGGUUGGCCCGCCACAUCGGGACUGAGACACUGCCCGGACCUCCACGGAGGGCUGCAGUAACGAAUAUUGCGCAAUGGGCGAAAGCCUGACGCAGCGACGCCGCGUGUAGGAUGAAGCUUCUCGGAGUGUAAACUACUGUCAGGGGUUAGAAAGUGUACUUCGGUACAUUGAUCACCCCCAGAGGAAGUCACGGCUAACUUCGUGCCAGCAGCCGCGGUAAUACGAAGGUGGCAAGCGUUGUUCGGAAUCACUGGGCUUAAAGCGCACGCAGGCGGAAUAGUAAGUGUUUUGUGAAAUCCCUCGGCUUAACCGAGGAAUUGCUUGGCAUACUGCUAUUCUUGAGGCAAGUAGGGGUGCAUGGAACUCUUGGUGGAGCGGUGGAAUGCGUAGAUAUCAAGAGGAACGCCGAAGGUGAAGACAGUGCACUGGGCUUGUCCUGACGCUGAGGUGCGAAAGCGUGGGGAGCGAACGGGAUUAGAUACCCCGGUAGUCCACGCCGUAAACGAUGUCUACUAGGUUGUGGAGGUUCUGACACCCUCACGGCCGAAGCAAAAGUGUUAAGUAGACCGCCUGGGGAGUACGGUCGCAAGGCUAAAACUCAAAGGAAUUGACGGGGGCUCACACAAGCGGUGGAGCAUGUGGAUUAAUUCGAAUCAACGCGCAGAACCUUACCAGGGUUUGACAUGCUUGGAUGCUUGCUGGGAAACCGGUUAAGCUGCCCUCGGGUGAAACUUGCACAGGUGCUGCAUGGCUGUCGUCAGCUCGUGUCGUGAGAUGUCGGGUUAAGUCCUUUAACGAGCGAAACCCUUACCGUUAGUUGCCAGCGCGUCAUGGCGGGGACUCUAGCGGACUGCCGGUGUCAAACCGGAGGAGGGCGGGGAUGACGUCAAGUCCUCAUGGCCUUUAUGCCCUGGGCUUCACACGUGCUACAAUGCGACUACAGAGCGAAGCGAGACCGCGAGGUGGAGCAAAUCGCAAAAAAAGUCGCCUCAGUUCGGAUUGCAGGCUGUCAACUCGCCUGCAUGAAGUUGGAAUCGCUAGUAAUCGCGUAUCAGCUACGACGCGGUGAAUGUGUUCCUGAGCCUUGUACACACCGCCCGUCAAGUGAUGGGAGUCGGGAGUACCCGAAGUCGGAUUGUUAACCUUUUAGGAAACGUCUGCCUACGGUAGCUCGAUGACUGGCACUAAGUCGCAACAAGGUA